rnacentral:rRNA from 1 species
CCUACGGGUGGCAGCAGUGAGGAAUAUUGGUCAAUGGAGGAGAGUCUGAACCAGCCAAGUAGCGUGAAGGAUAACUGCCCUAUGGGUUGUAAACUUCUUUUAUAAAGGAAUAAAACGAGGCACGUGUGCCUUUUUGCAGGUACUUUAUGAAUAAGGACCGGCUAAUUCCGUGCCAGCAGCCGCGGUAAUACGGAGGAUCCGAGCGUUAUCCGGAUUUAUUGGGUUGAAAGGGAGCGAAGAUGGGUUGUUAAGUAGGUUGUGAAAGUUUGCGGCUCAACCGUGAAAUUGCAAUUGAUACUGGCAGUCUUGAGUACAGCUGAGGUAGGCGGAAUUCGUGGUGUAGCGGUGAAAUGCUUAGAUAUCACGAAGAACCCCGAUUGCGAAGGCAGCUUACUAAACUGUGACUGACGUUGAUGCUCGAAGGUGUGGGUAUCAAACAGGAUUAGAUACCCUAGUAGUC